CGGCAGUUGGCUCAGUGGUAGAGUGUAUGCUUCACAAGCACAUAAGUAUUGGUUCGAUUCCAGUACUGCCCA